rnacentral:rRNA from 1 species
AACGAACGCUGGCGGCAUGCCUAACACAUGCAAGUCGAACGAGACCUUCGGGUCUAGUGGCGCACGGGUGCGUAACGCGUGGGAACCUGCCCUUAGGUUCGGAAUAACUCCCCGAAAGGGGUGCUAAUACCGGAUAAUGUCUUCGGACCAAAGAUUUAUCGCCUUUGGAUGGGCCCGCGUUGGAUUAGCUAGUUGGUAGGGUAAAAGCCUACCAAGGCGACGAUCCAUAGCUGGUCUGAGAGGAUGAUCAGCCACACUGGGAAUGAGACACGGCCCAGACUCCUACGGAAGGCAGCAGUGGGGAAUAUUGGACGAUGGGCGAAAGCCUGAUACAGCAAUGCCGCGUGAGUGAUGAAGGCCUUAGGGUUGUAAAGCUCUUUUACCCGGGAUGAUAAUGACAGUACCGGGAGAAUAAGCACCGGCUAACUCCGUG